AAACCCAGUGUGAUUCGUCACACUAUCAUUAACUGAAUCCAUAGGUUAAUGAGGCGAACCGGGGGAACUGAAACAUCUAAGUACCCCGAGGAAAAGAAAUCAACCGAGAUUCCCCCAGUAGCGGCGAGCGAACGGGGAGGAGCCCAGAGCCUGAAUCAGCAUGUGUGUUAGUGGAAGCGUCUGGAAAGGCGCGCGAUACAGGGUGACAGCCCCGUACACAAAAGCGCAUGUGCUGUGAGCUCGAUGAGUAGGGCGGGACACGUGGUAUCCUGUCUGAAUAUGGGGGGACCAUCCUCCAAGGCUAAAUACUCCUGACUGACCGAUAGUGAACCAGUACCGUGAGGGAAAGGCGAAAAGAACCCCGGCGAGGGGAGUGAAAAAGAACCUGAAACCGUGUACGUACAAGCAGUGGGAGCACCCUUUGGGUGUGACUGCGUACCUUUUGUAUAAUGGGUCAGCGACUUAUAUUCUGUAGCAAGGUUAACCGAAUAGGGGAGCCGGAGGGAAACCGAGUCUUAACCGGGCGUUAAGUUGCAGGGUAUAGACCCGAAACCCGGUGAUCUAGCCAUGGGCAGGUUGAAGGUUGGGUAACACUAACUGGAGGACCGAACCGACUAAUGUUGAAAAAUUAGCGGAUGACCUGUGGCUGGGGGUGAAAGGCCAAUCAAACCGGGAGAUAGCUGGUUCUCCCCGAAAGCUAUUUAGGUAGCGCCUCGUGAAUUCAUCUCCGGGGGUAGAGCACUGUUUCGGCUAGGGGGCCAUCCCGGCUUACCAACCCGAUGCAAACUGCGAAUACCGGAGAAUGUUAUCACGGGAGACACACGGCGGGUGCUAACGUCCGUCGUGAAGAGGGAAACAACCCAGACCGCCAGCUAAGGUCCCAAAGUCAUGGUUAAGUGGGAAACGAUGUGGGAAGGCCCAGACAGCCAGGAUGUUGGCUUAGAAGCAGCCAUCAUUUAAAGAAAGCGUAAUAGCUCACUGGUCGAGUCGGCCUGCGCGGAAGAUGUAACGGGGCUAAACCAUGCACCGAAGCUGCGGCAGCGACACUGUGUGUUGUUGGGUAGGGGAGCGUUCU
rnacentral:rRNA from 1 species